rnacentral:rRNA from 1 species
UGCCUAUUGAAGAAUGAACCAACGAGUUAUCUGCACUAGCGAGGUUAAGUGGAAGACACGGAGCCGCAGCGAAAGCGAGUCUUAAGAGGGCGCUAGUUAGUGUAGGUAGACCCGAAACCGCAGUGAUCUACCCAUGUCCAGGUUGAAGCGCAGGUAAAAUUGCGUGGAGGACCGAACCGGUGAGCGUUGAAAAGCUUUCGGAUGAGAUGUGGGUAGGGGUGAAAUUCCAAUCGAACGCGGAGAUAGCUGGUUCUCCCCGAAAUAGCUUUAGGGCUAGCCUGAGGUAGUAAGUAUAGGCGGUAGAGCACUGAUCGGGCUAGGGGCCGUAAAGGUUACCGAACCCUGUCAAACUCCGAAUGGAUAUACUGUAGAGCCUUGGAGUCAGACUACGAGUGAUAAGAUCCGUGGUCAAAAGGGAAACAGCCCAGACCACCAGCUAAGGUCCCCAAUGUCGUACUAAGUGGAAAAGGAUGUGGGGUUUCAUAAACAACCAGGAUGUUGGCUCAGAAGCAGCCACCAUUUAAAGAGUGCGUAAUAGCUCACUGGUCGAGAGACCCUGCGCCGAAGAUUCCCGGGGCUAAAGUACGAAACCGAAGCUGUGGCUGUAUACGUAAAGUAUACGGGGUAGGGGAGCGUUCCCAUAGGGUAGAAGUCGAACUGGAAGGUUCGGUGGACUUGUGGGAAGUGAGAAUGUUGGUAUGAGUAGCGAAAAGAAAGGUGAGAAUCCUUUCCACCGAAAGCAUAAGGAUUCCUGAGCAACGAUCGUCGUCUCAGGGUAAGUCGGGACCUAAUCCGAGGCAGAGAGCGUAGGAGAUGGACAACUGGUUGAUAUUCCAGUACCGGUAGUAAUUGUUUGAGCAAUGGAGUGACACAGAAGGGCAGGCAAGCAUGCGAAUGGAAGAGCAUGUGUAAGCGUGUAGGGUGGUGCAUAGGCAAAUCCGUGCACUGAAAGCCUGAGGCGUGAUGCGGAGUGAGCAGAGAUGCGAGCGAAGUUGUUGACCCCACACUGUCGAGAAAAGCUUCUAGUGAGAGAGCUACCGCCCGUACCGUAAACCGACACAGGUAUGCGGGGAGAGAAUCCUAAGGUGCGCGGGAGAACCCUCGUUAAGGAACUCGGCAAAAUGUACCCGUAACUUCGGGAUAAGGGUAGCCACUGUUGUGAAGUCCCAUGCGGAUGGAGCAUAGAGUGGUCGCAGAGAAGAGGCCCAAGCGACUGUUUACCAUAAACACAGGUGCCUGCUAAAGCGAAAGCUGACGUAUAGGUGCUGACACCUGCCCAGUGCCGGAAGGUUAAGGAAGGAUGUUCGGAGUAAUCCAAAGCAUUCGACUGAAGCCCCGGUGAACGGCGGCCGUAACUAUAACGGUCCUAAGGUAGCGAAAUUCCUUGUCGGGUAAG